rnacentral:tRNA from 1 species
GAGGGUAUAGCUCAAGUGGUAGAGCACAUGCUUAGCAUGCAGGAGGUCCUGGGUUCAAUCCCCAGCACCUCUU